CCCACAAAUUCAAACAUUCGCAAAGCCUUUUUCUUCUUAUCGUACAUUCGCCAACAAAAUUAUGGGGAAACACAAUUCCAAGUAUGUUGGAGUGCUUCUUAUUCUGAUGCUUGCCUUGGUAUUGGCCCAAGUGCAAUGCCGUAAGCUGCUAGAAGAUGGUGACGAAGGGGAGUAUGACGGUAAUGAUGGCCUUGGCGGUGGUUCUGGUGGAGGAUUUGGCGGUGGUGCUGGUGCCGGUGGUGGAGCUGGUGGUGGUGCCGGGGCUGGUGGAGGGUUUGGAGGAGGUAAAGGUGGAGGUAUAGGCGGUGGUGGCGGUGCUGGAGGUGGUGCCGGUGGAGGGUUCGGAGGAGGUAAAGGUGGUGGAAUAGGUGGUGGUGGAGGUAAAGGUGGAGGAGUAGGCGGCGGUGGUGGUGCUGGAGGUGGGUUUGGAGGAGGAAAUGGUGGAGGUAUCGGCCCCGGAAAGGGUGGUGGCGUUGGAGGAGGCAAUGGUGGAGGCUUUGGAGGAGGUGCCGGUGGUGGAAAGGGUGGCGGCGCUGGUGGUGGAUUUGGAGGAGGCAAAGGUGGCGGAGUAGGAGGCGGUGCCGGUGCUGGCGGAGGCGCCGGUGGUGGUUUUGGAGGAGGCAAAGGUGGUGGAGUUGGAGGCGGCGCCGGUGGUGGCGGAGGCGCUGGUGGUGGCUUUGGAGGAGGCAAAGGUGGCGGAGUUGGAGGCGGCGCCGGUGGUGGCGGAGGCGCUGGUGGUGGCUUUGGAGGAGGCAAAGGUGGCGGAGUUGGAGGCGGCGCCGGUGGGGGCGGAGGCGCUGGUGGUGGCUUUGGAGGAGGCAAAGGUGGCGGAGUUGGAGGCGGCGCCGGUGGGGGCGGAGGCGCUGGUGGUGGCUUUGGAGGAGGCAAAGGUGGCGGAGUUGGAGGCGGCGCCGGUGGGGGCGGAGGCGCUGGUGGUGGCUUUGGAGGAGGCAAAGGUGGCGGAGUUGGAGGCGGCGCCGGUGGGGGCGGAGGCGCUGGUGGUGGCUUUGGAGGAGGCAAAGGUGGCGGAGUUGGAGGCGGCGCCGGUGGUGGUGGAGGCGCUGGUGGUGGGUUUGGAGGAGGUAAAGGCGGCAGAGUUGGAGGAGGUGGUGGGUUUGGAGGAGGCGCAGGUGGCGGCGGAGGCUCCGGUGGGAAUGGAGGAAUUUGAGAUGGUCAUUAAGUGUAAUACAUGAAUGGAUUUUAUAUGUCAUCGGAUAAUGUAAUAUGAAGCUUAUCAAUCAAUAAAAUGAAGUAACGAGUUCAUCUUAAUUAAUCAAUUAUUUUCCAAUUUCUUCCAUUUGCUAAAUUUCAGUAUAUAAUCUACAUUAAUAAAACGUGAAAAUAAUAAAUUGAAUUCAAACUCGAAACACAAGUUAAAUUCAGAAAUGUAUAUAUAUAUAUAGCCCAUAUAAAUUAAGUAAUCAACUAAUUCGAAUAUAUACUUUUGGAAAUUAGUAAUUAAAAUUUAGAGGUGCAACCAUUUUAGUUUAGGUUAAACAUUGAUAUACAUAUGUAUUUUGGCUAAAGCCCAAAUCCCUUAUACCAAAUGUGCCCUAAAUAAAAUGUGGUGGAACUCAGAUAAUCAUUGGCUAUUUCUAGUUGUCUGGCCUCAUUAAUAUUUAAAAGUAGCAGCUAAUAUUACAAGGAAGAGAUUCAAAACAAAGAUUACGGCGAAAGCGGAAUGCAAUAAACAAGGGACAAAAGAUAAUUCGAAAUAGGAUAACAUAGAGUCUCACGAGUCACAAAAUGAACAGCGUAAUUAUCUUGACGACGAACAUAAAAAAAGAAACUAUAGUUAGUGAAAGAAACAAAUUGCGACAAAAAUUAUCCCACAUGAAUAUCCUAAUAACUUGAUCUAACUACAUACAAAACUUGACAAAUUGCUAUAAACUCAAGCACCAAAAGGUGCACAAUGUGAUGAAUAAUGACCUGUCCAGAGUUAGAGACUAGUGAACCACAAAACAAAUCCGCUUAUUCACCAAACCAAUUGAGCCAAAACCAGUUGUUUGAAUUCUGAAACAAACUUCAAUUACUUGAUUUGUCCUAUGACUGGUUGUAGCGGGUUACAUGGUAACAUUCAAUAUAGUAAAAGUAUAUUACUGUUCACAUAAACGGCAACCUUUUCCAGCCGUUUUGUCAUGUCAAUCAACACCAACAAAACAUUUAAAAAAACAUAAUAAAAACAGAGGCCAUAUAUAUGGGCCAGCCAGCUUAACUACCAUGAAUGUUUCUAUACAAACCCAGUAUAUGUUUUACAGCAAAACGUAUGAAUUUAUUAUAUAUGUUUCCUACUGCGUACGUACUAAUUAAGUAAACUUCAUGGCUGGGCAUAGCCCUCUAUAAAUUGUGGGCAUUUGCCACUACUGAUCUGCACGCUCUCUCAAACACACAAAAAGAAUCAUAUCAUACACUUGCUAUAUAUAUAUAUAUAUAGAUAUAGAUAUUGUUCUCUCUGCUUUGUUUUAUUCCGAUCGAUGGAGAAGUUCAAAAAAGUGAUGGGUUUGAAGGAUAGUAGUGGAGUGUUACUGUUACCUGUUGUGGUGUGUAGUUUAUUAGUGAUGAUGGAGGUAGCACAAUGCCGUGAGCUCUCUAACAACAAGACAAUCGUUGGAACUCAGCUGGACAUCCCUGGAGGAGGAAACCCGUUUCUGGGUUUUAUAUGUCAGCUUUGUCAAGCGUCCGGUGGACCCGCUGUACCAGGUGGACCGGUGGGACCUGGUGGGCCAGGGGGACCAGGUGGCGGCGGUGGUCAAGGAGGAGGUUCUGGUGGGGGUAGUGGUGUUGGCAGUGGACCAGGAGGCAGGGGUGGAGGUGGUGGUUAUGGUGGCGGCAGUGGUGGCGGAAGUGGGGGCGGAGGUGAACCUGGAGGUGGUAGUGGUGUAGGAGGAGGUUCGGGUAGUGGUAGCGGAAGUGGAAGUGGAUCAGGAGGCGGCGGUAGAGGUGGCGGAAGUGGUGGCGGUGGUGGAUCUGGUGGCGGUAGUAGUGCUGGAGGAGGUUCUGGUGGAGGA
rnacentral:lncRNA from 1 species